CGCUGGCGGCGUGCUUAACACAUGCAAGUCGAACGAUGAUGGUGGUGCUUGCACUGCCUGAUUAGUGGCGAACGGGUGAGUAACACGUGAGUAACCUGCCCCUCACUUCGGGAUAACCUCGGGAAAUCGUGGCUAAUACCGGAUAUGAACUUCUACCGCAUGGUGGUUGUUGGAAAGAUUUAUCGGUGAGGGAUGGACUCGCGGCCUAUCAGUUUGUUGGUGAGGUAAUGGCUCACCAAGACGAUGACGGGUAGCCGGCCUGAGAGGGCGACCGGCCACACUGGGACUGAGACACGGCCCAGACUCCUACGGGAGGCAGCAGUGGGGAAUAUUGCACAAUGGGCGAAAGCCUGAUGCAGCGACGCCGCGUGGGGGAUGACGGCCUUCGGGUUGUAAACCUCUUUCAGUAGGGAAGAAGCGAAAGUGACGGUACCUGCAGAAGAAGCGCCGGCUAACUACGUGCCAGCAGCCGCGGUAAUACGUAGGGCGCAAGCGUUGUCCGGAAUUAUUGGGCGUAAAGAGCUCGUAGGUGGCUUGUCGCGUCUGCCGUGAAAACCCGAGGCUCAACCUCGGGCGUGCGGUGGGUACGGGCAGGCUAGA
rnacentral:rRNA from 1 species